GACGAACGCUGGCGGCGCGCUUAACACAUGCAAGUCGAACGGAAAGGCCUGCUUUCCCUUGUGGAUUGCGGGUACUCGAGUGGCGAACGGGUGAGUAACACGUGAGUGAUCUGCCCCCAACUUGGGUAUAAGCCUGGGAAACUGGGUCUAAUUCCCGAUAGGACUGCAGGGUGGUGCCUGUGGUGGAAAACGAUUUUCUAGUGGUUGGGGAUGAGCUCGCGGCCUAUCGGCUUGGUGGUGGGGUAAUGGCCUACCAAGGCGGCGACGGGUAGCCGGCCUGAGAGGGUGGACGGCCACAUUGGGACUGGGAUACGGCCCAGACUCCUACGGGAGGCAGCAGUGGGGAAGAUUGCACAAUGGGCGGAAGCCUGAUGCAGCGACGCCGCGUGGGGGAUGACGGCCUUCGGGUUGUAAACUCCUUUCGACCGCGAGGAAGCCACCUGGUUGGAAGGGUGGUGACGGUAGUGGUAGAAGAAGCACCGGCUAACUACGUG
rnacentral:rRNA from 1 species